GAUGAAGAACGUAGCGAAAUGCGAUAAGUAAUGCGAAUUGCAGAAUUUCCGUGAGUCAUCGAAUCUUUGAACGCACAUUGCGCCCAUUGGUAUUCCGAUGGGCAUGCCUGUUCGAGCGUCAUUAUCCUCCCUCAAACCCCUGGGUUUGGUGUUGGACUGUGUGGUGCCUGGCACCACUGGUCUCAAAGACAAUGACGGCGUCCGUGGGACCCUCGGUGCAACGAGCUUUUCGAAGCACGCGUCGAGUGGACAGUCUCUCCGGGCCGGUCACCUCUCCAAUUUUUCUCAGGUUGACCUCGGAUCAGGUAGGAAUACCCGCUGAACUUAAGCAUAUCAAUAAGCGGAGGA
rnacentral:misc_RNA from 1 species